GGGCCGUUAGCUCAAUUGGUAGAGCAGCGGACUCUUAAUCCGUAGGUUCGGGGUUCGAGUCCCUGACGGCCCACCA
rnacentral:tRNA from 1 species